ensembl:lncRNA Sptssb serine palmitoyltransferase, small subunit B
CAGAAAGCUGCCAGAAGCUCAAAUUCGCGCUUCAGCACAAUCGAGUCCAGUGGAGCCUAUGAUGCCUCCCCCUCCUGGAGUGGAAGCUGAAUGGCAGAUGCUGCCCAAAUGUUCAUUAAUUGAGAGGCUUCCGUCCCCGGACGCCCCUGGAUCUUGGACAGAAAAAAAAAAUUCGGUCGAAUAUGCAGGAUGAGGAGCCUCCAGAUCCUGUGCGCCCUUAGCGCCCAGCCACAGAGUCAAAUGCAAGCAUUCCCCGGGAUGAGAAAGAAAGAGAUCGAUCAAGGUCUGGCUGCGGCUUUCCAGCGAAGAUGCUGCGCGCAAGGAACGCCAGCCCCAGAGCGGCUCUGUGCGACUCUGCGGCACCCUGCUGCCUGCCGGCCCCCUUUCCCAAUUUGCCCUCCGGCCAUUCGUCUGCACAUGAAUUCCCUGCACUUGUGAGUGAACCCACACAAGUUCUCUAGGCACGGUCCUCCUACUCUUUCCCGCGGGGAAGGGUGGGGGUAGUUUUUCAACCUUAACCUCUCUACUACCUGGAGGAAGGUGACUGUACUGGGAGGGUGAGGGAUUGUUUUACAGGUUCCAGGGCGUCAGAAUUAGGUGCCAGUGCUAAAGUGGCUUGUUUUCUUCCUUUGCCCUUUGACAACUGGUGAGCUGACAGCUGCCUGGGCGCAACCCCCGGGCUCACUUUGCAGCCGGACGCUGAGUUUCAGACUGCAGCCCGGUUCCGCGUAGACCCGGGCCUCUUCGCCCCUCAUCCAAGUCUGCGGCGGAUGGAUGCUGACAGACAUCCUCUGAGCAUUGGUUAAAGCUCUACCUUUGCACCUCCUGUUUAUCUACCGCCACCUCCAUCUCCCCCUCCCCUCCCGUCUCCUUCUCUUCCCCAUCCCCACCCUUUCAUCAUUUGCACCACCACCAAAUUACGUGCCCCUUUGGUAGAGUCGAAGCUCCCCGCUGAAGUGAGGGGGAGGGCGAUACCCAUCCCCCCUCUCCCAUCUCUGCCUAGGCUCCGGGUUUUACUGCAGCAAUCGGAGGUGACAGCGCCACCUCGGUCUCCUCCGUAGCUCUCAGAGCCCCUGCUUCCCCCAGUAACUGGGAAAGCGCCCCCUCUUGAGAAGCUAAUUUCUGAAGAAGUGCGAACAGGCUACAGAAAAAAAAAAAAAAAGAUUUUGAAAAUGUAGAAGUCACCGGGAUGCAUUCCUCCUCGGAGAAGAGCCCAAUCUCCCAGAACUGAGUAUCAGCGCAUAGGAAGUUAGGACCUUAGAGCGAAGGGGGAGGGGAGUGGUGCAGCCCGCAUUCUCUUCUGGAAGGAGUCACUGCAAGCCCUGCGGUUGGACAUAAGUUUGCGUAAGAGUGUUUUCCUUUUGUCAAUUAUUAAUCACCGGAAUCAGUUUGGCAGAACUGGAGUUUUAGCAGUAGUGCAGAGGGCGGGGCCCGAACACCUAACUCUGGGAGCCUCGGCUGCGCCCAGCACAGUGGCAAGCUAACAGAAGCUGGGGAGAAGCCAGAGCAUCUAAGCUCACUCAGCAAAAGGCAGACUUUCCACAGCUCGAGGAAGAGCCAUGGAUUUCAAGCGUGUGAAGGAGUAUUUUGCCUGGCUCUACUAUCAAUACCAAAUCAUUACCUGCUGUGCUGUCAUGGAGCCUUGGGAACAAUCCAUGCUCAACACCAUCAUACUAACCAUUGUUGCUAUGGUGGUAUACACUGCCUAUGUCUUCAUCCCCAUCCACAUCCGACUGGCUUGGGAAUUUUUCUCCAAAAUAUGUGGAUAUGACAGUUCAAUAUCUAACUGAUAUCAUCGGAAUUCUGUGAAAUGGCGUAAUGUAUUCACAUUGCUUACAACUUACUGACUUGGGUGACUGUGUUAUCGUUCACCUGUGACCUGACCAGCACUCUUUCUAUGCACUGUCACACACAUCCUGCCUGGAGUACAAGAUAGGUGUCUUCCCGCUUGCUUUUGAACAUGCAGCAUUGUGCAUCAGAUGAUAGGAAAGGCCAUGAGUUUAACCCCAUAGCCCACAUUUGCUCAACUCAACUCUGUGGCUGUAGAUUUCUUUUGAAAUCCGGAUGCUUUGAAAUAAAACUUUUCUGGAAGAUAGGCUUAUAAGAGACAUGAUGGAGUCAUAUUUACACUACUCUUUUCAUAUUAUUCCACAUGAAAGGAUAUGUUACAAAAGUAUUCUUCAUAGGCUACUGUCAAAAGUACCCUGCACUUGUUUACAAUUUAUUAAGAGGUGGGAAUAAAAUAGAUGAACCUGUAAAGUCUUAUUUUCUGGUAGAUAGCUAACACCUAAAAUUCAUUUUUUUCUUCCUUUUUAAAUUUUCAUUUUCUUUGCUUCACCUAAAAUUCUUUUACUUUACAGUAAUAGGCUAGAGACAAUUGUCCUCUUUCGGAUUUUGUUUCAGCAAUGUUUCAAAUGCUCCUGAAAUCUGGCUUUAUCGCAGCUUUAAAGGAAUGUUGAUUUUCAGGUAAACAAACAACUACUGUACUAGAGAAUAAUUUAAGUUUCAGAAACAAAGCAUAAUCAAGGCAAAUUCGCAUAUUGUGACUCUUGAUCAUGGCCCACCUUACAUGAUGCUGGAGAUAAAAGAAGAGAGAUCGUUGUUUUGCUGUGCGUUUGGUGAGAGGAAGGAAAACUGCACGUCCUGGACCACAGGAAGAAAGGCUGAUAAAUAGACUGGAAGUAAUAGCCAAGCAGCAGGAAGUCAACAGCUCCAGUUAAAGGCUUUGAUACAGCAGCGCCUUUGCACAGCAGAAACAAGAUAUAUUAAAUUUCUCUCAAAAUGGUUAUCUUCAAAGUAAACGUAAGAGUUUAAUUAUAGUGCUGAGUCAAACAUACAAGCCAAAGACCAAGCCUUGCAGCUUUUCUUUCUUCCCAGUAAAGAUUAACAUUAGUGAUUCUGGAGGGUUAAAAAAAAUAAAUAAAUAAUAAACAUGUUUUGGGCAAUAUUGGCACCUUUGUUUUAGGAGGAAAAUAUUCCAAGGAGUCAUACAAAGAAAGAUAUUUGGCAUGCAAAAUCAGCCUGCAUGUCUAUUUAAAAAACAAAAUGUACAUUUUAAACAGAAACCAGAUAUGAAAUAUAUACUUGUUGAUUUUUGCAAAAUAAAAUUAAG